AUUGAACGCUGGCGGCAGGCCUAACACAUGCAAGUCGAGCGAGCGGCGGACGGGUGAGUAAUGUCUGGGAAACUGCCUGAUGGAGGGGGAUAACUACUGGAAACGGUAGCUAAUACCGCAUACCAUCAGAUGUGCCCAGAUGGGAUUAGCUGGUAGGUGGGGUAAUGGCCCACCUAGGCGACGAUCCCUAGCUGGUCUGAGAGGAUGACCAGCCACCCUGGAUCAGUGACACGGUCCAGAGUCCAACGGGAGGCAGCAGUGGGGAAUAUUGCACAAUGGGCGCAAGCCUGAUGCCGCCAUGCCGCGUGUGUGAAGAAGGCCUUCGGGUUGUAAAGCACUUUCAUCGGGGAGACGUUACCCGCAGAAGAAGCACCGGCUAACUCCGUGCCAGCCGCCGCGGUAAUUC
rnacentral:rRNA from 1 species